GCUGGGCAUAGUGGCACACACCUGUAAUCCCAGAUGUUUAGGAGGCUGAGGCAGGAGGAUCUCGAGUUCAAAGCCAGCCUCAGCAUCUUAGCAAAGCCUUAAGAAACUUAGGGAGAUCCUGUCUCUA
rnacentral:sRNA from 1 species